UGAGUUUGGGACUAUGCGAAUGUAUC
rnacentral:piRNA from 1 species